GGUAGCGUGGCCUAGCGGUCUAAGGCGCUGGUUUAAGGCACCAGUCUCAAAAGAGGCGUGGGUUGGAAUCACAACGCUGCCA
rfam:Nematostella vectensis strain CH2 x CH6 NEMVEscaffold_18_Cont3434, whole genome shotgun sequence.